AUAUAAUGUAAAAAGUUUGUGUUUUUUAAACAUUUAUUGUUUUGACAAAAAAUUGUAGCAAAUCUGAAUCUUAUCAUCCCACGUCGUAUUAGUUUAGGUUAGUCUAUGGAUUUAUUACGAUUGAAGUAGACUGUGGUUUAUAACUUUAUUAAUUUGAAAUAAAACGAUACAUUAUUAUCUGCAAAUGCCUUAGAGAGUAAAAAUAACAAGAAUAUAAUAAGGCAAACCAAAGUUUGAUUUGAGAUUUGAAAAAUCAAAGAUGAAAUAUGGAAGGUUGUCGGUUGGCGAUUACAGGUUUUUGAGUAAGCACUCGCAGGCUCAGAAGGAAAUGGGGAGACGACUCUAUUCUUUCCACAAAACGAACCUAUAAAGCCGAGAUACAAAGAAAUGGGUAGGACACCCACGCGCUACGUCGUCGUGGGACAAUGAUGCGCUCAGUAUAGACUUGUAAACACAGGAACUACUUCUUCAGAUGUAAACUAAGAAAUCUCUAUGAAGACUCUAAAAACUAGGUCAUUUUAUAUCUGCAAGAUAAGAUGUUGUUUCGAAUAAGCACCUAUCAAAUUAUGUCAAGACGACACUUCUUUUAAGCACUUUAUAAGCAGCAACGCUGAUAUAUUUUUUAAACUUUUCCAUGUGUAUUUACAACUUAGAUUUUUUUAUAUACCAUUACAUUUGUGCUAUGCGUAUUCGUAACUAUUUUAAGUACUUUUACAUACGUUAGACAUUAAUAUAAGUACAGAAAAAAAUCUGUUAUUUUUGAA